rnacentral:rRNA from 1 species
UGCCGGACCCGACUGCUAUCGGAUUGAGAUUUAGCCAUGCGAGUCGAACGUCCUCCUGUGNCGGGGGGCGUGGCGUACGGCUCAGUAACACGUAGUCAACCUGCCCUGGAGACACGGACAACCCCGGGAAACUGGGAUUAAUCCGUGAUAGGUCACCUCAUCUGGAAGGAGAGAUGGCUCAAAGGGGUCCAUGAGCUUCUUUCGUGGAUUCGCUCCAGGAUGGGACUGCGUCCGAUCAGGCUGUUGGCGGGGUAAUGGCCCACCAAACCUGUAACCGGUACGGGCCUUGAGAGAGGGGGCCCGGAGAUGGACACUGAGAGAAGGGUCCAGGUCCUACGGGGCGCAGCAGGCGCGAAACCUUCGCAAUGCGCGAAAGCCCCACCCGGUAAUCCGAGUGGUCCCCGCUGAGGGGAUCUUUUGUCAGCUGUAAAUUGUGUAACAGCAGCGCCC